AUUCUUCUCAAUAGCUUUAUUGCAGG
rnacentral:piRNA from 1 species